UACGGGGGGAGCAAGCGUUGUUCGGAUUUACUGGGCGUAAAGGGCGCGUAGGCGGCCAGCACAAGUCAGUUGUGAAAUCUCCGGGCUUAACUCGGAAAGGUCAACUGAUACUGUGCGACUAGAGUGCAGAAGGGGCAACUGGAAUUCUCGGUGUAGCGGUGAAAUGCGUAGAUAUCGAGAGGAACACCUGCGGCGAAGGCGGGUUGCUGGGCUGACACUGACGCUGAUGCGCGAAAGCCAGGGGAGCGAACGGG
rnacentral:rRNA from 1 species